UUUGGCGGCCAUAGCGGCAGGGGUACUCCUGUUCCCAUCCCGAACACAGCAGAUAAGCCUGCCCACGUUUCCUUUUGUACUAAAGUGCGCGAGCCUUUGGGAAUUAGGAAUCGCUGCCAUGU
rnacentral:rRNA from 1 species